CCCUGUUGGAGUCAGUACAUGGAUCUCCAGUUUCACUUGUCAGCCAGAGGUAAUACCCAGUCUUCUGGGCUCCCCCUCCCAGGACAGACGAGUCUUCUGGUUCUUUAAGCUUUCUUUAAGGAAUUCAGACUUAAGAUCUCAACAUCACAUUUACCAGAAUUUCCAGCCUGCGGCACACCCUAUAAAAUUCAGACUUUCCAGCCUCACAGUCACGUGAUCAGAUGGUCAGGAUUACACUUGCUGAGAAUACAGUACACUGAGAAAAAGCACAGAGAUGAAAGAAAUCAUAUGGUUGUAAAUAGCCUGCAUUUUCAAUAGAAGUUCGUGGAAGAGAGAUUUUUUUCCUACAGUUUCUUUAAAUCUACAAUGAAUGAUCUGUGGUGAGAAAAAAUGGAGCACAGUCUCCAGGUAAUUUUCGGGGUUGCCUUGGUUUCAACAAUCAGGAAAUAAAUAUCAGGAAA